rnacentral:tRNA from 1 species
AAGUAAAGAAGUAAAAUACAAUUUAAUUUCGACUUAAACCUAGGGAUAAAUCCCCUUACUUA